CACACACGCCAAAAGAGAGGUGCCCUGGU
rnacentral:piRNA from 1 species